AGUUAAGAAUUAAAAAGUACAUUAUAUGAUUAGCAUGUGAUUUAGUCAUAUAAUUAAGGAUUAUAAGAUGAUUUAAUGUAUUUAAUACUAAAAUUAUUUAAAAAAAAUUAGAAAAAUAAAAAAAUAAUAUUAAAUAUUAUGUAGAAUCAGAACUGAACCAAAACAAUAAAUAUAAGUGCUGUUUGGUUCUUAUAGUAAUGGUUCUUUUUUGGUUAUGGUACGGUUCAGUACGGUUUUUCGGUUCUGUUCAAAACCUCCAAGAAUUGUGCAUAGCCCUACUCUCUGACAAUAUUUUUGUACAUUAGCCUUCGGUGUUAGUUGGUAAUUAACAUUCAUGGUAGCGUCUUCUUGUGUCAUUUGAUGGUAGAUUAAAAAUUUCCAUUGUCUCUUGAUAACAAGCAUCACUUUUCAAGGGUCCCUUUGGCUAGUUUGUCUUCAUUACAUGUUGAAAGUUGCUGUUAUAGAGGUCAAAAUUUUUCCUUGAAAUUCUUUAUUGGCAUAGAAUAUAACAUAGAUGUCUCAAUCUUAGGCAGAGAAGGAAAUUGCUUGACCAUUUACUUGUAGUUGAUAUAAUCAUGCAUCUGCAGCUGAACACUUACAAUACUUAUUAAUUGAUCAAUCGAGCUUAAUUAUACAUGAAUUAAUUGACAGGUAUAGGAUAGGCUUCUUCCUGGAAAAUUAUAAUUUAUUUACUUUACUUGUGCAUAGGUUGCUAGAAACUUGAUGCAAUCUGUGUAUGCUGGCAUAAUUAGAAUAUUAGGUGCACCAUAAGAUAGAUAUAGUCAAAGGGCAAAUAAAAUAGACUUGCCAACUGAUAAAAUUUAGCUGCAUCCACAAAAUGUCUUAGUUUUAUUCAAUUAUAUGGUAUAUGGUGACAUAAAAUUUGCAUGAUUAGGAGCAAAAGGAUUUCAAAUUUGUGGUUCUGAAAUUAUUUAACCUGCGGCUUCCAUAGGAGCUUUUGGGAAGGCUCCUGUUUUCAUUUAAUAUAAUCAUAUAAGCCUUCAAGGGGCAACAGAUGAAUUUAUGUACACCACUUGUGAUUUUGUGGCUGAUGAAUAAAUUGUAAUCUUUCACUAUGAGCUUCUGUUAUGCCUUACUGUAUUUUGUCAUGUACCGCAUAUCAUGUUCAUUGUGUAUUGCUGCUAACAGUCUUCUGUAUAUGUUCUGCUGUUAUUGCAGUAUGUUUCAUUGUGAAGAACUACAUAGCUCAUCUUCUUAAUACCAAAGUUCCGUUGAUCCUAGGUAUUUGGGGAGGAAAGGGGCAGGGAAAAUCAUUUCAGACUGAACUUAUUUUUCAGGCUAUGGGGAUUGAACCAGUAAUUAUGUCUGCUGGAGAAUUAGAAUCAGAAAGGGCUGGAGAACCAGGAAAAUUGAUUCGUGAACGCUAUAGAACAGCUUCUCAAGUGGUCCAGAACCAAGUUAGAAGCUUUACUAUUCUCACUCUUGGUAUAUGGCAAGAUGAGCUGUUUGAUGAUCAAUGAUAUUGAUGCUGGCCUUGGUAGAUUUGGAAACACUCAAAUGACAGUGAACAAUCAAAUUGUUGUUGGGACUCUAAUGAAUCUGUCAGAUAACCCUACAAGAGUGAGUAUUGGACAAGACUGGCGAGAAUCAGAUGUCACAAACAGAGUUCCUAUCAUUGUGACUGGAAAUGACUUUUCAACGAUUUAUGCCCCCUUGAUUCGUGAUGGAAGAAUGGAAAAAUUUUACUGGCAACCUGACCGUGAAGAUAUUGUGAACAUUGUUCACAGAAUGUAUGAAAAGGAUGGCGUAUCUAGAGAUGAGGUUAUAAGCAUUGUAAACACAUUUCCUAAUCAAGCUCUGGACUUCUAUGGAGCUCUAAGGUCACGAACUUAUGACAAGUCAAUUUCUAAGUGGAUUGAUGACAUCGGCGGUGUUGAAAAUCUUGGUGACACCCUUCUGAAACGAAGAAAGAAUGAAGAACUUCCUGUGUUUACUCCCCCAAGGCAAACAUUGGAGGCUUUGCUUGAAUCAGGCUAUUCUCUCAUCAAAGAACAACAGCUGAUAAUGGAGAAUAAACUUUCAAAGGAAUACAUGAAGAACAUUGACGACUAGAAAAGAGUAUGCCUUUGCACUCAAUUUUGCAUGCUACCCAGUGAAUUCUUUAAUUAUUCGAUGUCUGGAAGAGAGAGAAAAACUGAAAGAUUUAAAUCAAAUGAAGAAAAUUAGUUGUAAUAAUUAGAGAAAUUAUUUGCAAGUAGAAAAGAACUUGGGCGCUGAGCAUGAUUUCACUUUCCUUGGUCUCUAGGUCUGCCAUAGAUUACGUAUAUAAUUAUAACCUGAUGAGAAUUUGUUGUGUAUCUUUUUUAAUUGAUUGGGUUCCGAUCUACAAAUCAUGUUUAUAACCUCACGGUACUAUUAAAUCAAAGCUCAU
rnacentral:misc_RNA from 1 species